GGGAAGGCACAGACAGCCAGGAUGUUGGCUUAGAAGCAGCCAUCAUUUAAAGAAAGCGUAAUAGCUCACUGGUCGAGUCGGCCUGCGCGGAAGAUGUAACGGGGCUAAACUGUGCACCGAAGCUGCGGCAGCGACACUCUGUGUUGUUGGGUAGGGGAGCGUUCUGUAAGCCUGCGAAGGUGUCUCGUGAGGGAUGCUGGAGGUAUCAGAAGUGCGAAUGCUGACAUAAGUAACGAUAAUGCGGGUGAAAAACCCGCACGCCGGAAGACCAAGGGUUCCUGUCCAACGUUAAUCGGGGCAGGGUGAGUCGACCCCUAAGGCGAGGCCGAAAGGCGUAGUCGAUGGGAAACAGGUUAAUAUUCCUGUACUUGGUGUUACUGCGAAGGGGGGACGGAGAAGGCUAUGUUGGCCGGGCGACGGUUGUCCCGGUUUAAGCAUGUAGGCGGGUGUUUUAGGUAAAUCCGGAACGCUACUAACGCUGAGGUGUGAUGACGAGGCACUACGGUGCUGAAGUAACAAAUGCCCUGCUUCCAGGAAAAGCCUCUAAGCAUCAGGUAACAUCAAAUCGUACCCCAAACCGACACAGGUGGUCAGGUAGAGAAUACCAAGGCGCUUGAGAGAACUCGGGUGAAGGAACUAGGCAAAAUGGUGCCGUAACUUCGGGAGAAGGCACGCUGAUAUGUAGGUGAAGUGAUUUACUCAUGGAGCUGAA
rnacentral:rRNA from 1 species